UAUGUAGGCGGCGCUGUUAGUCGGGUGUGAAAUCCCUCGGCUCAACCGAGGAAUUGCGCCCGAUACUGCAGUGCUUGAGGGAGACAGAGGUAAGCGGAACUGAUGGUGGAGCGGUGAAAUGCGUUGAUAUCAUCAGGAACACCGGUGGCGAAAGCGGCUUACUGGGUCUCUUCUGACGCUGAGAUACGAAGCUAGGGGAGCGAAGG
rnacentral:rRNA from 1 species